CUAUUUAGGUAGUGCCUCGAGUAUGAGACUGAUGGGGGUAAAGCACUGUUAUGGCUAGGGGGUUAUUGCAACUUACCAACCCAUGGCAAACUAAGAAUACCAUCAAGUUGCUCCUCGGGAGACAGACAUCGGGUGCUAACGUCCGGUGUCAAGAGGGAAACAACCCAGACCGCCAGCUAAGGUCCCAAAUGAUAGAUUAAGUGGUAAACGAAGUGGGAAGGCACAGACAGCCAGGAUGUUGGCUUAGAAGCAGCCAUCAUUUAAAGAAAGCGUAAUAGCUCACUGGUCGAGUCUUCCUGCGCGGAAGAUGUAACGGGGCUCAAAUCUAUAACCGAAGCUGCGGAUAUACUUUUGUAUAUGGUAGGGGAGCGUUCUGUAAGCCUGUGAAGGUGACUUGUAAAGGUUGCUGGAGGUAUCAGAAGUGCGAAUGUUGACAUGAGUAGCGAUAAAGCGGGUGAAAAGCCCGCUCGCCGAAAGCCCAAGGUUUCCUACGCAACGUUCAUCGGCGUAGGGUGAGUCGGCCCCUAAGGCGAGGCAGAAAUGCGUAGUCGAUGGGAAACAGGUUAAUAUUCCUGUACUUUGAUUCAAUGCGAUGUGGGGACGGAGAAGGUUAGGUUAGCAAACUGUUGGAAUAGUUUGUUUAAGCCAGUAGGUGGAAAGAGUAGGCAAAUCCGCUCUUUCUUAACACCGAGACGUGAUGACGAGUGUCUACGGACAUGAAGUGACCAAUACCACGCUUCCAGGAAAAGCCACUAAGCUUCAGUUGAAUCAGAACCGUACCGCAAACCGACACAGGUGGGCAGGAUGAGAAUUCUAAGGCGCUUGAGAGAACUCGGGAGAAGGAACUCGGCAAAUUGAUACCGUAACUUCGGGAGAAGGUAUGCCCUCUAAUGUUAAGGACUUGCUCCGUAAGCAUCUGAGGGUCGCAGAGAAUCGGUGGCUGCGACUGUUUAUUAAAAACACAGCACUCUGCUAACACGAAAGUGGACAUAUAGGGUGUGACGCCUGCCCGGUGCUGGAAGGUUAAUUGAAGAUGUGCAAGCAUCGGAUCGAAGCCCCAGUAAACGGCGGCCGUAACUAUAACGGUCCUAAGGUAGCGAAAUUCCUUGUCGGGUAAGUUCCGACCCGCACGAAUGGCGUAACGAUGGCCACACUGUCUCCUCCCGAGACUCAGCGAAGUUGAAAUGGUUGUGAAGAUGCAAUCUCCCCGCUGCUAGACGGAAAGACCCCGUGAACCUUUACUGUAGCUUUGCAUUGGACUUUGAAGUCACUUGUGUAGGAUAGGUGGGAGGCUUUGAAGCAGAGACGCCAGUCUCUGUGGAGCUGUCCUUGAAAUACCACCCUGGUGACUUUGAGGUUCUAACCCAGACCCGUUAUCCGGGUCGGGGACCGUGCAUGGUAGGCAGUUUGACUGGGGCGGUCUCCUCCCAAAGAGUAACGGAGGAGUUCGAAGGUUACCUAGGUCCGGUCGGAAAUCGGACUGAUAGUGCAAUGGCAAAAGGUAGCUUAACUGCGAGACCGACAAGUCGAGCAGGUGCGAAAGCAGGACAUAGUGAUCCGGUGGUUCUGAAUGGAAGGGCCAUCGCUCAACGGAUAAAAGGUACUCCGGGGAUAACAGGCUGAUUCCGCCCAAGAGUCCAUAUCGACGGCGGAGUUUGGCACCUCGAUGUCGGCUCAUCACAUCCUGGGGCUGUAGUCGGUCCCAAGGGUAUGGCUGUUCGCCAUUUAAAGUGGUACGUGAGCUGGGUUUAAAACGUCGUGAGACAGUUUGGUCCCUAUCUGCAGUGGGCGUUGGAAGUUUGACGGGGGCUGCUCCUAGUACGAGAGGACCGGAGUGGACGAACCUCUGGUGUACCGGUUGUUUCGCCAGAAGCAUAGCCGGGUAGCUAAGUUCGGAAGAGAUAAGCGCUGAAAGCAUCUAAGCGCGAAACUCGCCCAAAGAUGAGACUUCCCUUGUGGUUUAACCAUACUAAAGAGUCGUUCGAGACCAGGACGUUGAUAGGUUGGGUGUGGAAG
rnacentral:rRNA from 1 species